AUGUUAAAAAAAAAAAAAAAAAAAAAAAAAAAAAAAAAAAAAAAAAAAAAAAAAAAAAUUGUUGAGUCAGAAUAUUAUGUUUUAUACCCGAAUAUUACUAAAGCGAGAGGUGAUAGAGCAGUACCGCCGCUUCGACGACCUGCUGAGCAGUGCUGCCGCUUUGACGACCUGCUGAGCAGUACUUGGCCUGUAGACAUCGGGAAACACGCACAGCUCUCAACGCUGCAGAAGCGUUGCUCCAACCCCCCAGAGAUCCCCGUCUCCGCCGACGUUCACGCCUUCUUUCGGGAGGCUACCUCGCAAGUCGCGAUGUCUACGGCUCUAUUGGAUUUCCACGUCACCAAAAAGAACUUUGUUGAGCUCAGCGAGGCAUUGCUUGCAGCCCUCGUCAAAUAUAACAGGCGCCAAGCCUCCGAGGUCUCGAGAGCACCCUUCAAUUGUUACCGCAACCGCCCGACCGGAGAGGCCCUCCAGAAGGAGCUCCGGGUCGUCCCCAUCCUGGAACGAGCGGUCGGAAUCCGUGAUGCCGUUCUGGAGGAUCAAAGCGGACGGCCCGAGUUCUUCCUUGUUCCGGGCGGGACAAACAAGAGUCCCGUGGCCAUCAUCGUCCCCCGCUCGCUCCUCGCUGGUAUCGAUCUACUGAACGCGACCAGGGACGCCCUCGCGAUCCCACCUCCGACCGGUGGCACCGGCAAAAAUAAGUCGCAGAAGAAGGGAAAGAAGCAGCAGCAGCAGGGUGCCGAGGAGGUGGGCCAGAGUCGCAUCAACGACCUGCUCUUCCCCCGUCCAGACUCCUCGCACCCGUACGAUGUGGUGCACGUCAUAGGGCGCCUUAGAGAACGAUCGCCGGCUUCAGCGUCCCGAGCUGCUAACUACGAGGACCAUAAGAACUCGGCUCGCAACUAUGGCAUCGGAGCUGCCCGAUCGCCGGCUCGCAUAAGCUCUCAACGUCCACCUAGAUCACUCGGAGACCACGAGCGCACGGUAUUAAAAAUCGGCAGAUCCAACUACGGCUCCUCGGGCUUUCGCUGA
rnacentral:lncRNA from 1 species